CUCUAUCGUGUCCUCAUUGUACAUGCUGUGUGUAUUUGUCACGUACACAGCGCAUGCAAUGUGGACAUAAUGGAG
rfam:Cariama cristata contig103202, whole genome shotgun sequence.